rnacentral:rRNA from 1 species
CCUACGGGAGGCAGCAGUGAGGAAUAUUGGUCAAUGGGCGCAAGCCUGAACCAGCCAAGUCGCGUGAGGGAUGACGGUCCUAUGGAUUGUAAACCUCUUUUGUCGGGGAGCAAGGCCCGCCACGUGUGGCGGGAAGGAGAGUACCCGAAGAAAAAGCAUCGGCUAACUCCGUGCCAGCAGCCGCGGUAAUACGGAGGAUGCGAGCGUUAUCCGGAUUUAUUGGGUUUAAAGGGUGCGUAGGCGGAAGGUUAAGUCAGCGGUAAAAUGUCGGUGCUCAACACCGGCCUGCCGUUGAAACUGGUCUUCUUGAGUGAGCGAGAAGUAUGCGGAAGGCGUGGUGUAGCGGUGAAAUGCAUAGAUAUCACGCAGAACUCCGAUUGCGAAGGCAGCAUACCGGCGCUCAACUGACGCUGAGGCACGAAAGCGUGGGGAUCGAACAGGAUUAGAUACCCCAGUAGUC